rnacentral:lncRNA from 1 species
AUUUUCCAGAGCCUGUUGGCCCGUGUCCUGGCCGCACAGCACACUUUGUCACUUCCAUCUGCUGUACCUCUUUCCCCAAUUUGUGGUUCCAUACGUAUUUCUGUUCCUUCCCUUCAGUUUUUACCUCAACUUACUAACUUAUCAAUGAUUUAAUGAUAUUUAGUUGAAAUUCAAAACGUAUUGAAGAGUUUCCUCUCUCCUCCAAAAUCCUACGGCAAGCAGUGCUUGCCUUACUUAUUUGGAACGUACUUACGCCACUGGGGACGCCAGAUAAAACUUGCAGGGAGAACAAGCAAAGAUAUUAUUACAAUAACGAGUAAUAAGCAUCACUGUAAGGAAGAUGAUGGUAAAGAAUUGAAGGAUCUUACUUCGGAGACGGAGUGAAAUCGAUGUCAUCUUCACUGAACAUGGCUUUAUGGAUGUAGGAAGAUGAGAGGGAUGUACCCCUAAGGUAGUUGACACAUGCAAACAGGAAAACUCGGCAUUUUUACAAAAUCCAAGGGAAUGUGCUAAGUAACUUCAAAGAGUUAGCAAGAGACAGAGACUGGAUGGAAGUUAUAACGUUCUGUGGGUUACUUAAUUAAUUUUUCCACUUAUUACAAACGCGAAAAAUGUUGAGAUGAAUAAAUGCAUGCCCACUAUUCUUGAGGAAACCAACACUACAAUUCAAAUUCAAUUAUCAUCAAUCCUUGGUAAAUAAAAUUACUUAAACAAAAUGAACUAAGCAUGAGUGAGUGGACGUAGAGAGAGAAAUGUGAUGAUAACAGCUAUCAGCUGAUGCUGAGAUGCUCGCUCGUUGUGUUUACAUGAUUAUGACGUCAUUUGCGUCAUCAAUUAUGAAAAAUCGAAAAAUCUCGAAAUUUCGGCCUGUGUUUAUUUUCUGUUUUUUGUGGAAGAUAACCUCGAGGCCGGCGGCUGUUUCGGUGAUUUUUCUAUGUUUUAUUUUACCUAAACUUCAGUAUUUUGGCUCUCAUGAUUCCUGUAAAAAUGGCAGUUCGAUGUAGGAUCACAAGUGGUAAAUCAUUUUACGUUAAUUGCUUACUGUCAUCUUCACGAAGCAGUCACAUUUUGGACACUCCGAAGUUCUACCAUCAGAGAAGUGAUGAUCAUGUGUGCAACGUGAAGAAUUAUGCAAAUCAAGUUGCUGCCAUUCCGUUUGCUGAAAGAUUUGAGCAAUUCUUGCAACCAUUUGUCCGAUUUUCUCCAUGUUGCACUAGCAAGACACUGCAUGAUUGGAGAUCAGAAAUAAUUUCAAAGAGCUUAUCUAGUCAUGCUUGGAGGAAUCCUGGAAUUCCUUUUCUAGCUUCAUCUCCAAUAGAAAACUCAACUUUACUGCUAGCAGAUGUUGGAAGUAUUCAUGGAGACAAAAAGACAGGUGCUUCUGCUGGGUCCUCCUCAGCAGGAGAUAAACAAAGCGGCCGUCCCUCAGAGGAGCAACUUGAUAAAGUGUAUAAAUAUCUAUCUGAAAAUCUGCCAAAAGUGAUGGUCCAAUCUGUGAAUUAUAAAUUAUUUGACGGCAAUCUUGUUAUUGAAGAUCACUUGAAAACUUACAAAAGAACAGUGUGA